AUUUAAAUAGCUUACAAAUUAGAGCAUAAUAUUGAAAAUAUUAAGGAAAUUAUAAAUUUUUAAAUA
rnacentral:tRNA from 1 species